UUGCUCAGCUCUCUCCUCAGCUCUUUCUGCUCCACACUCACGACUGACUGAACUGAACCUGAGCAACAACGACAUUAAGGAUUCAGGAGUGAAUCAGCUGUGUGAGGGGCUGAGGAGUGAAAACUGCAAAUUACAGAAACUGAGCCUGUCUUAUUGCGAUCUCACCUUCAGAUGUUGCUCAGCUCUCUCCUCAGCUCUUUCUGCUCCACACUCACGACUGACUGAACUGAACCUGAGCUGGAACCACAUGAAGGAUUCAGUCAUGGAUCAAAUAUGUAAGGGGCUGAGGAGUGAAAACUGCAAAUUACAGAAACUUUACCUGUCUUUUGUCGUCUCACCUUCAGAUGUUGCUCAGCUCUCUCCUCAGCUCUUUCUUCUCCACUCUCAAAACUGACUGAACUGGAUCUGAGCAGAAACAACAUGGAGGAUUCAGGAGUAGAUCUGCUGUGUGAGGGGCUGAGGAGUGAAAACUGCAAAUUAGAGAAACUGAACCUGUCUUAUUGUCGUCUCACCUCCGGAUGUUCCUCAUCUCUCUCCUCAGUCCUCUCUUCUCCACAAUCACAGCUGACUGAACUGGACCUGAGUGAAAACAAUCUGGGAGAUUCAGGAGCUCGUCAGCUGUGUGAGGGUCUGCAGACCCCAAACUGUAAAUUAAAGACCCUGUGGUGAGUAAACAGGGUGAGGUGUGUGGGGUUAUGAAGUCACAGCUGACGGCCUGAUGGACAGACUGAUCACAGGACACCACAUGGACUGACUGAAGGAAGGAGAAGGACAGGCAGUGGGACAAGAAGGACAAAGAGCAGUGGACAAGUGGAGCUGGAUGGAGGUGACAGACAGGGAGGACAACAAAGAUAAUGAGAGAUGAGAGAAGGAGAACAACAAAGAGGAGGAGUGUGA